rnacentral:sRNA from 1 species
UUUCACGGGUUCAGGCAAGACACUGGUGUUCACGUUGCCCGUCAUCAUGUUCUGCCUGGAACAAGAGAAGAGGUUACCCUUCUCAAAGCGCGAGGGGCCCUAUGGACUCAUCAUCUGCCCCUCGGUAAGAUAGGCUGGCCUGGAGGGCAGGCCAGAGAUUGGGGCUGCCAUCUGGUGCCAGCCUUUGUCCCUCUGCCUGCAGCGGGAGCUGGCCCGGCAGACCCAUGGCAUCCUGGAGUACUACUGCCGCCUGCUGCAGGAGGACAGCUCACCACUCCUGCGCUGCGCCCUCUGCAUUGGGGGCAUGUCCGUGAAAGAGCAGAUGGAGACCAUCCGACACGGUGUACACAUGAUGGUGGCCACCCCGGGGCGCCUCAUGGAUUUGCUGCAGAAGAAGAUGGUCAGCCUAGAUAUCUGUCGCUACCUGGCCCUGGACGAGGCUGACCGCAUGAUCGACAUGGGCUUCGAGGGUGACAUCCGUACCAUCUUCUCCUACUUCAAGGGCCAGCGACAGACCCUGCUCUUCAGUGCCACCAUGCCGAAGAAGAUUCA